rnacentral:rRNA from 1 species
UACGUAGGGUGCAAGCGUUGUCCGGAAUUAUUGGGCGUAAAGAGCUCGUAGGCGGUCUGUCGCGUCGGAUGUGAAAAUCCAGGGCUCAACCCUGGACCUGCAUUCGAUACGGGGCAGACUAGAGUUCGGUAGGGGAGACUGGAAUUCCUGGUGUAGCGGUGAAAUGCGCAGAUAUCAGGAGGAACACCGAUGGCGAAGGCAGCCCCCUGGGCCGACAUUGACGCUCAGGCACGAAAGCGUGGGGAGCAAACAGG